rnacentral:pre_miRNA from 7 species
UCUCCGAGAAAUGGGGAGGCCACAAAAUCCCGGAGAAGCCCCCAACUGAAAGACCCCCGUUUCUGGAGAUACUCUCGCUCAAGUCCCAGGAUGAGCUGACGCCCCAAUAACUCGAGAGAAACA